AACUUUCUGAUGGAGAAGCUCAACAAGACAAAUGGCAGAUUUGAUUGGAACAAAAUGAGACUAACAUGAAAGAAUAAUAAUACUAACAAAGUAAAACAAAGAAUAAUAAGUUACCAGUAGAAAUAAGGAAAGAAUAAUAAAAUAGUAAGUAAUAUAAUUAAACAAUGAAGGGAGAAUGAGAGGGCAUAAUGGGCCUGUAAAGGACGGAAGCCAAAAAGUGGAGAUGAAACCUUGGCGAGAGAGAAUGGAAUCAAAUCUCCCACUAUCUCAGCAACCAUGAACACUCCACCCAUCACAAAAACAUUCUCUUCUUUCUUUCUCUCUCCUACAUGAUCUGAAAUCACCACUAAAGCAAGAUUAAGGUUAAACAUGAAAUCAGAUAAGCUCAGGUAAGAUAACAACAACCAAAAACAUUUAAAAAAAAUGGAAAAAAGAGGAAUUUACCUACUGUUACUAUAUGCCAAGGCUAAAUUAAUUCAAAAAAGCUUACCUCAAAAGCAUAUCUCCGCUAUCAACGCGACGCUCUUCUUCUCUCUUUUCUGAGCGUGUUCAAAGAACCCAUAUAAUUCUCCAAUUUUCUGUACUAGCCAAGGAAGAACCUAAAAGCUGCAAUCUUCUUUUAGUGUUCUUUCUUUUUUUAAUGCAAAAAGAUGAUACCAUGACGACGCCGUCUCAGCCACCGCCACCGCAGCCAAGAAUAGUGCGCAAGCUAAUCGUCGAGGUCCUGGAAGCACGUGACCUGCUUCCCAAAGAUGGUCAGGGAAGCUCCAGUGCUUACGUCGUGGUAGAUUUUGAUGGCCAAAAGAAACGAACUUCCACCAAGUACAGGGACCUCAACCCAGUAUGGAACGAAGCACUGGAGUUCACAGUAUCCGACCCCAACAGCAUGGAAGUUGAGGAGGUAGAAAUCGAGGUCUUCAACGACAAGCGCUUCGGCAAUGGCAGUGGCCGUAAAAAUCAUUUCCUCGGAAGGGUAAAGGUGUACGGCAGCCAAUUCGCCAGGAGAGGGGAAGAAGGCCUUGUCUACUUCCAGUUGGAAAAGAAGAGUGUCUUUAGCUGGAUUAGGGGGGAGAUUGGGCUCAAGAUUUACUAUUACGACGAGUUGGUGGAGGAAGAUUCGCAGCAACAACCGCCUCCUGAAGAUGCUGCCGGGUCUCAGCCUCAGGCUCAAGCUCAGGCUCAGCCACUGCCGGAGACUCUGCAGAACUCUCCAACGCUUGUUGUCGUUGAGGAAGGCAGGGUUUUCGAAGUCCCGGCUCACGCUGAGAUUUGUCACGGCCAUCCAGAGCCUUUUCAGACGCCCCCAGUCGUUGUUAUCGAGGAAUCCCCGCCGCCAGUUGUCCAUGUGCACGCUGAACCGCCGCCGAAUCAGGCCACGGAUUUUCAGUACCCUUCGGAAGUGAGGAAAAUGCAGACUCCAGGGAGACCUAUUGGCGGAGAGAGAGUAAGAGUUUGGAGAAGACCAAACGGAGACUAUUCCCCGAAAGUUAUUAACGGCAAACUCGGUCGAGAAACGGAGAGGAUCUAUCCUUACGAUCUGGUUGAACCGAUGCAGUACUUAUUCAUCAAGAUCGUGAAGGCGCGGGCUUUAGCGCUCAAUGCUAGCCCAUAUGUCAAGAUCAGGACGUCGAACCAUUUCGUGCGAUCCAAGGCAGCGAGUUACAGACCCGGCGAACCGACCGAUUCUCCGGAGUGGCAUCAGGUGUUCGCACUUGGUCACAACAGACCUGACGCGUCUACCGCAACUCUCGAGAUCUCUGUCUGGGACUCAGCGUCUGAGCAUUUCCUAGGAGGAGUCUGCUUCGACCUGUCGGACGUUCCCGUGAGGGAUCCUCCAGAUAGUCCUCUAGCCCCGCAAUGGUACCGGCUGGAGGGUGGCGCAGCUGAUCAGAGCGCAGGGAAGGUCUCCGGUGAUAUACAACUCUCCGUCUGGAUCGGCACUCAAGCAGACGACGCGUUUCCCGAGGCAUGGUGUUCUGAUGCUCCUUACGUGGCGCACACCCGCUCGAAGGUUUAUCAAUCGCCGAAGCUCUGGUACCUGAGAGUUAAAGUGCUGGAAGCUCAAGAUCUCCACAUUGCCCCGAACCUCCCUCCCUUGACUGCUCCGGAGAUUCGCGUGAGAGCACAGCUGGGGUUCCAGUCCGCGCGAACCAGGAGAGGUUCCAUGACCAACCACACGACGUCGUUUCACUGGAACGAGGAUCUGAUAUUCGUCGCCGGUGAGCCACUGGAGGAUUCGCUGAUCAUGCUAGUGGAGGACCGUACCAGUAAGGAACCCGUCGUCCUCGGUCACAUCGUAAUUCCGGUGAGCUCGAUCGAACAACGAAUAGACGAACGCCACGUGGCGUCCAAAUGGUUUGCAUUAGAAGGGGGUGUGGCCGCAUGUGGCCCAGAUGGGCCUGUGGCGUACAAUAGCCGAAUUCAUAUGCGGCUCUGCCUGGAGGGUGGAUACCAUGUGCUGGACGAAGCGGCGCAUGUCUGCAGCGACUUCCGGCCGACGGCCAAGCAGCUCUGGAAACCCGCCGUUGGAAUACUCGAGCUUGGAAUCCUCGGGGCUCGCGGCUUGUUACCCAUGAAAAGCCAAGGCGGAGGCAAAGGCUCCACUGACGCUUACUGCGUGGCUAAGUACGGAAAAAAGUGGGUUCGCACCAGGACCAUCACUGAUAGCUUUGAUCCACGUUGGAACGAGCAGUACACAUGGCAGGUUUAUGAUCCUUGCACUGUUCUCACCGUCGGCGUCUUCGACAACUGGAGAAUGUUUGCUGAUAUCUCAGAGGACAAGCCUGACUACCGUAUAGGGAAAGUAAGAAUACGAGUAUCUACGCUGGAGAGCAACAAGGUGUACACCAAUUCGUAUCCUCUACUGGUGUUGCAGAGAACGGGGGUGAAGAAAAUGGGCGAGAUUGAGUUGGCGGUUCGGUUUGCCUGUCCUUCGCUGUUGCCCGACACCUGCUCUGUUUAUGGUCGACCAUUGCUUCCAAGAAUGCAUUACCUACGUCCUCUUGGGGUGGCUCAGCAGGAGGCGCUGCGCGGGGCGGCGAUAAAGAUGGUAGCAGCAUGGCUGGCACGUUCGGAGCCACCGCUGGGGCCGGAGGUGGUUCGUUACAUGCUGGAUGCGGAUUCUCACUCGUGGAGCAUGAGGAAAAGCAAGGCUUAUUGGUUCAGGAUCGUUGCAGUGCUUGCAUGGGCGGUAGGGUUGGCUAAAUGGUUGGAUGAUAUCCGGCGGUGGAGGAACCCGGUGACUACAGUACUAGUCCAUGUGUUAUACUUAGUGCUGGUUUGGUACCCUGAUUUGAUUGUGCCAACCGGGUUUUUAUACGUGGUCCUGAUUGGAGUAUGGUACUACAGGUUUAGGUCUAAGAUACCAGCUGGUAUGGAUAUCCGGUUAUCACAAGCAGAAACGGUUGACCCAGAUGAGCUAGACGAGGAAUUUGACACCAUACCCAGUUCAAAACCGCCGGAGAUAAUCAGAGCCCGGUAUGACAGGCUGAGAAUAUUGGCGGGAAGAGUGCAAACAGUGCUGGGUGAUUUUGCAACCCAAGGAGAGAGAGUUCAAGCCCUGGUGAGCUGGAGAGACCCACGAGCGACGAAAUUAUUCAUUGGGGUGUGCUUAGUCAUUACAGUGAUACUAUACGUGGUGCCAGCAAAAAUGGUGGCUGUGGCACUGGGAUUUUACUACUUGAGGCAUCCAAUGUUUAGGGAUCCCAUGCCGCCGACUAGCUUAAACUUCUUCAGGCGGCUUCCGAGCUUAUCAGACAGAGUGCAGAAAGGAAGAAAUCAGGAGAGCUUAGCUUUUGUUGAGUGGGAUCUCAAGGGAGAAAAGGAGGCUGAAUCUCCAGCAGGAAUCUUGAAUUUGAUCAAAUUAUUCAAGUUUAAUUGCAGAACUUUCUUAAGGCCUUUAAUUCACCUUAUUAUUGUGUCUAUAUGUUGAGCUUCAUGAUAUUUGGGCAUACUUGCAACACCUAAUGUUUUUGAUUGUAGCGAGAAGGAAAUAUCUGUAGAUGAAUAAAAAUUUUUGGAUGUCAAAAGAGAGCAAGCAAUGCUUUUCUACUUGCUGGACCAGGCCGCUGACCCUCUGGAGCUGCUGAUGGAGACAUCUUAUACAAUUAGGUUUGGAAUUGGACUGUUUGAAGCUUUGGUAUUAUUCCUGGGAUCUGAACUGUUCCUCAGUUUAAGGGGUUUCUCACAGAUAACUUCCGUCUAAACACAAUCUUUUAACACUACAAUCAACAAAAACAGGCCUCUUUGUCUGUAUAUGUGUCCUCUGUUAGUGCCAUGUAAACAAGGUUUCGUGCACAAAAAUUUCUGUCACCAAGAGCUGUUGGUUCCCCUGCUUUUGCAGUGUGCUUUUGGCUCCUUAAGGCAUUUUUGGUGCUUUCAGUCUAUUUACGCAAGGGUUUGAUUUUGCUUUUCUGAGAUAAUAAGUUAUGAUAUUUUCCCUUGUCUUUAUUCUCCUUCAGUUUCAUUACAUUUUAAAUCAUGGGUUCUCUUGUUAGGCUGUUCACUUUUGCAUGCUUUGAAUAUUUUACGAAAUUCAUCUAUUUGAUUUUAGCAAACUAUUGGAGCUCGGAGUGGAUGCAUGUUUGCGCUUUUUAAUUUCCAAGCUUUAACUAUUGGAGUAUGCUUGCGACUAAUGUUGUCUGAAUUUGAAUUUAAAGACUCUAGUACCUUAUGUAGGUGGAUUAACAUUCCAAAGUAGCGAGAAAUGAACGGAGAGAAAACUCGUUUAUUGAAGUGUGUAUUUAUUUAUUACGAUUCAUCUGUGACCAAUUGUAUUUUUUUUUCCUUUCCAAUUGGAUUAACCUGGAGUAGUUGGUUGGUCUAUGAAAAUGUGGAUGGCCCUUGUAUAUUU